GGUGUUACAUGGGUGACCAUCUAUGUAGUUUACCCUUUAUUCUAAAAUCCUUGACAUAUUUAUACAUUUAGGCACUUUAAUAUCUUUUAAUUAAGCUCUCAUAUUAAGCACACUUCCUAAUCAAUCAUUAUACCAAUUAACAAUCGAUCAAGUUUAUUCCCAACUUAUUAUUCAAUCCUAACUUUUAGUAUACACGAUUUAAUAAUUUCAACUUUAAAACCCAAAUUUUUCUACACCACUAAAAAUCGAGUCAUUACAAAUAAUAUCUUCAAAAUAAACUAAUGGUGUCCCUAAUUGCCUAUAGAAAUUAAGUUUUUGAAUGAUUGUCCAUUUAAUUAAAUUUUAC
rnacentral:lncRNA from 1 species